CUCGCCUGCCUUGCCCAGCCAGGCUCCCAUCUCUCACCAGCAGGCCCUCUCUUCCCUUUGGAGGCUGCAAGGCUCACUGUGUCCUCAGGCCCCCUGGGGCCCCCUGCACCCCCAGGCCUGCCAGCCCCUCCCUCUUCGGGCUCUUCCCUCGGCGCCUGGCCUCCCUCUCUGCGAUUCACUCUUCCUUUACUCGGGAUCCCCCUUCUGGCCCUUCUCUGGCCUCCAGCCACCUGGGCAGACUUCUCAACUGUCCCUACAUCUUUCCUGCCCCGUCACCUGCUCCUUCCAUCUCCCCACCUUUGGGUCAUUUUGCAGACCGUUCCAGGGGCCCAAUGCCCCUGCCACCAGCGGGCACCCGGCCCGCUCAGAGCUCUGUGAGUCAGGCACCUGCUGGACGCAGGGAGCAGCCCAGGGUGGGCAGCUGUGGGGCCGCCUGGCGGGCCCUCCAGCGCUCCGGGAAGUCCCCUUCUCCACAGACAGAAGCCAGGAAAGACUGGACUGGCCAGAAAUGGGGGCACCCACCUCUGUACUCUUCUGUCUGCCCAACUGGGCCAGACAGCUCGAGUUGGGGCAGUCCCAAAGUGACAGCGUGUCCCCCGAGGAAGGUGAGUCCUGGGGGAUGCUGACUGAUGGAGCGUGGGGAGGGGUGACCCCUGAGAGCCGGAAGCGGAGCCCGGGCCCGCUGCCCUCUCCAGAGAGCAGAGGGCCAUGUGGUCAGGGUUCAAACUGUGCUUCUUCGCUUUGGCCCCUGCAGACUCCUCAGUCUUGACACCGCCUUCCUGCGGGCUGAGCGCCCUUGACCUAGAACACUCCCUCGCACUGGUGCUUCUUCCCUGGAUUGAGGGUCUGGGGAGCCCGGAUCCCGCCUGCUGAUGGUCUCAAGUUUGCAAAUGUUUGUGAAGUGAAUGCAAUUUAUCAGGAAUCUACAACCUUAGGCUCUGACUUUUAAUGCCAAGGGC
ensembl:lncRNA